CCCUUAGAUGUUCUGGGCCGCACACGCGCUACACUGAAGGAGGCAGCGUGUACUCCUGGAUCGAAAGAUUUGGGUAACCCGCGAAUCUCCUUCGUGCUAGGGAUUGAGGUUUGCAAUUAUCCUUCAUGAACGAGGAAUUCCCAGUAAGUGCAAGUCAUAAGCUUGCGCUGACUACGUCCCUGCCCUUUGUACUCACCGCCCGUCGCUACUACCGAUUGAAUGAUUUAGUGAGGACUUCGGACUGGGACCGAUGCGGCUUUCGGGCUGCGUCGGUAUUCUGGAAAGAUGUCCAAACUGUAUCAUUUAGAGGAAGUAAAAGUCGUAACA
rnacentral:rRNA from 1 species